GACGAACGCUGGCGGCGUGCUUAACACAUGCAAGUCACGGGGUCUCGCAAGAGAGAACCGGCGAACGGUGCGUAACACGUGAACAACCUGCCGUUGUGAGGGGAUAGCCGGGCUAACGCCCGGGUAAUACCGCAUACGCUGCCCGAGGGAGUCCCGUUGGGGAGGAAAGCCGAUGGCGCAAGCGAUGGCGCACGACGAGGGUUCGCGGCCUAUCAGCUAGUUGGGGGG
rnacentral:rRNA from 1 species